AGAAGAAAAAUUGGUGGAAACUUAACCAAAGGUGGCAUUUCUACCAUACACUAUUCCCAAAAGGUUUCCACAAUUUUGGCCACUACUGUACUAAUGUAGUAAAAUGCUUCAUGGGCCAAUAAUCCUGCCUCUCCCAUGGUUCGGCAAGCCUUUUGAAUCCACUUCCUCACUUGGCAACCCAGAAGACUUUCCUGUCUGUGCCUGACAGGAUUGCCCUUCUAGGAUUCAUCCUAUAGGAUCUGUUUCCUUGUGUUCCUUUUCAAAUUCCCUUCAUGUCACCAGCUAAGCCUAUUAGGAUGGAAUAGGAGAUGCUGAUUGAAGGCACCAGUACUCAUGCUUACAUGCCACACUUUUCCAAAAACUUGCUGGUGUGUGGUGCAAAACAUGCUCUAAUGCUUAGUUUAUGAACUCUGUGGUUCAAAUUUAGAAUAUUGGCUUGCUUUUAUAUAAGAAAUGAUUUAUUUAACUGUGUUAAAUGUGCAAACUGAGCCCAUUGUGGAGUACAAUUCUCGAAUGGCAACUGGCCUGAGAAAAAAAUUGAAAAAAAAAAACAACCUCCUGCCUGGGUAGAUUUGUCAACCAGUUCCCUUUAUCUUUUAGGCGGUGGCUUCUUGUCAUCUGGGAAGUAGGUAUUAUGUUUUCUGGCAACAGAACUAUUACAAAAAAACCAUGACCAUUUGUUUAACUAUCUGGCAUGAGGUACGCAAAGGUGCUGAGUAUACCUGGCAGACAGAUGCAUUCUGGUCUGCAUUCCCAUCUGAAGGUCUCUCCCUUCUGAUUUGUAUAAACAGGACUCAACUUGGAUUCUGCAAGAGAAAAAUCCUGCAGACUAUCAGAUCAACAGAGAGAUAGAAUCAAACUUGUAUAUCACCCUUUUGUUUAUCUGUGGUCUGAUUCAAAGCUAUAAUUCAGAAAAACAAAUAGUAGGUAGCAGCUGCAAGAUGAAGUCCCUGAACAUUGACACAGAUGGUCCAGCCAACAUAACUAAGAAUUGUGCACCAGAAAUAUCUACAGACCAAGAUGUUUGUUCCACUGCCUGCUUAUAUAACCCCUCUGUUCUUGUGACUAUAUUCAUACCUGCAAUCUUAGGAAAGAUAUCACGGAACCUCCUUCCAGAAGGUGAUAAGGAAGACAGAUCGUGAAGAGGAUGUGUAGUGUCCCAAACAAUCUUACGGACCUUGUUCAAGCAACGCUUCUGUGCUAUGUCCUGGAUGGAAGGGAAGGAACUGCCAGUGAUCUUUUC